rnacentral:rRNA from 1 species
UACGUAGGGUGCGAGCGUUAAUCGGAAUUACUGGGCGUAAAGCGUGCGCAGGCGGUUUUGUAAGCCAGAUGUGAAAUCCCCGGGCUCAACCUGGGAAUGGCAUUUGGGACUGCAAGGCUUGAGUGCGGCAGAGGAGACUGGAAUUCCUGGUGUAACAGUGAAAUGCGUAGAUAUCAGGAGGAAUACCGAUGGCGAAGGCAGGUCUCUGGGCUGACACUGACGCUCAUGCACGAAAGCGUGGGGAGCAAACAGG